rnacentral:lncRNA from 12 species
AGCUUUGCAAACAGUUUUCAGAAAUCCUGUUGGCCUACAUUUAGCUUGGAAGCUGCACCCUGUACCAAGUGUAGGGGCUCAAACAAUCAAGCAGUUGUUUGCCUCACUCACAUUCCUGAGGCAAUCUGGUUCCAGCUGAACUCCUUGGGAACAGUCUGGGCUAUGUACCUCUGGGGCAUCUGCUCCAAUUAGCACUGACCCUUGGGGGCCUCCUUGCUGGCCCUAGGUCACUCCCAACCUCUUGGACUCUGGGUAAACCAGAUUGUUUUAGGAGUCUCUAAGCUUUCCAUGGCCCCAAGACAAACUGGACAUCCAGGCUCACCAAGAGAAAUUCAGUCACCCUGGAAAACCGACACCAACAUGGCCUCUUUUGAGUUCUCUGGGCCAGAGAGGAGACACAUACGAAAAUGAACAUCUUCAUGACUCAUUUUAAUCCAGAUCUCAUCACAUGCAUGGAAA